AGUCCCUACGGGAGGCAGCAGCCGCGGUAAUACGUAGGGGGCAAGCGUUAUCCGGAUUCACUGGGCGUAAAGGGAGCGCAGGCGGCAUGGCAAGUCUGAUGUGAAAACCCGGGGCCCAACCCCGGGAGUGCAUUGGAAACUGCCAGGCUGGAGUGUCGGAGGGGUAAGCGGAAUUCCUAGUGUAGCGGUGAAAUGCGUAGAUAUUAGGAGGAACACCAGUGGCGAAGGCGGCUUACUGGACGACUACUGACGCUGAGGCUCGAAAGCGUGGGGAGCAAACAGGAUUAGAUACCCGGGUAGUCCAG
rnacentral:rRNA from 1 species